rnacentral:rRNA from 1 species
GGGGGGUAGCUUGCUACCUCGCCGGCUAGUGGCGGACGGGUGAGUAAUGCCUGGGGAGCUGCCCAAUCGAGGGGGAUACCAGUUGGAAACGACUGCUAAUACCGCAUACGCCCUGAGGGGGAAAGGUGGGGAUCUUCGGACCUACCGCGAUUGGAUGCGCCCAGGUGGGAUUAGCUAGUUGGUGAGGUAACGGCUCACCAAGGCGACGAUCUCUAGCUGGUCUGAGAGGAUGACCAGCCACACUGGAACUGAGACACGGUCCAGACUCCUACGGGAGGCAGCAGUGGGGAAUAUUGCACAAUGGGGGAAACCCUGAUGCAGCCAUGCCGCGUGUGUGAAGAAGGCCUUCGGGUUGUAAAGCACUUUCAGUCAGGAGGAAAGGCGGCUAGCUAAUACCUAGUUGCUGUGACGUUACUGACAGAAGAAGCACCGGCUAACUCCGUGCCAGCAGCCGCGGUAAUACGGAGGGUGCAAGCGUUAAUCGGAAUUACUGGACGUAAAGCGCACGCAGGCGGCUUGUUAAGUCAGAUGUGAAAGCCCCCGGGCUCA